CGGGGAUAAGAGAGAGUGAAUCACCUGGCAGCCGUCAUGACUGUGUAAUGUUUUGAGCUGACACAGCUGACACAGCUGACACGGGACAUCCACGGCUCUUAUUAUACCCAAAAAGACAGCCAGAAGCGCCAUGUCUCCCCAGAACCACGAGCAAGUUGUCUCCCAGGCGGUGGAUAACAGGUAUCAAAAUGCAGAGAAGACGAAGGCAGACGUCAUGACGGCCCUUCAUAAUUACCGAGGACUGUCUCCGAGGCUUGAUAAAUUUGUUUUUAAUGAUGGGCACGAUCGGGAGUUGUUGAACCUAGAUGGGACGAUCCCAGUCCGUUACAAAGGUGAGGGAGCAUAGUAGCAACACCACUGACAUUCACAUGGCUUGAGGGUUGGCAGUGUACCAUCCUUGGUUUGAGAAGUACAAUUUGUUGCAUUUUGAGAAGUUUGAGCUGGCUAUCUAGCUUAUUCAAAGGGUGUGCGAGAGUGUAGUCAUGAGCAAACUUCUCAAGCCUCAAGAUGGACUGUCAUCUUGUAAGUGGUUUA